rnacentral:rRNA from 1 species
UUCUUAACGGCCGCGGCACUAAAACCGUGCAAAGGUAGCACAAUCACUUGUCCCUUAAAUGAGGACCCGUAUGAAAGGCAACAUGAGAGAAGACCUGUCUCCUAAGGCCAGCCAAUGAAACUGAACUACCAGUACAAAAGCUGGUAUUUACAAGCAAGACAAAAAGACCCUAUGGAACUUAACAAAUAUUUACAAAACAUAAAUUAUAGUUUCAGUUGGGACAACUUUAGAGAAAAUUAACCUCUUAAGACCAACAAGUCUAUCGACCCAGUCACACUGAUUAACGAAACAAGCUACCCUAGGGAUAACAGCGCUACCUUCUCAAAGAGUCCAUAUCAACAAGAAGAUCUACGACCUCGAUGUUGGAUCAGGGUACCCAGACGGUGCAGCAGCUGUCAAUGGUUCGUUUGUUCAACGACUAAUACCC